rnacentral:misc_RNA from 1 species
GAUGAAGAACGUAGCGAAAUGCGAUAAGUAAUGUGAAUUGCAGAAUUCCGUGAAUCAUCGAAUCUUUGAACGCACAUUGCGCCCCCUGGCAUUCCGGGGGGCAUGCCUGUCCGAGCGUCAUUACAACCCUCAAGCUCAGCUUGGUGUUGGGCCCCGCCGCCCCGGCGGGCCCUAAAGUCAGUGGCGGUGCCGUCCGGCUCCGAGCGUAGUAAUUCUUCUCGCUCUGGAGGUCCGGUCGCGUGCUCGCCAGCAACCCCCAAUUUUUUUCAGGUUGACCUCGGAUCAGGUAGGGAUACCCGCUGAGCUUAAGCAUAUCAAUAAGCGGAGGA